rnacentral:rRNA from 1 species
CACGUAGGGUGCGAGCGUUGUCCGGAAUUAUUGGGCGUAAAGAGCUCGUAGGCGGUUCGUCGCGUCGGCUGUGAAAUCCCGAGGCUCAACCUCGGGUCUGCAGUCGAUACGGGCGGACUGGAGUUCGGCAGGGGAGACUGGAAUUCCCGGUGUAGCGGUGAAAUGCGCAGAUAUCGGGAGGAACACCGGUGGCGAAGGCGGUUCUCUGGGCCUUACCUGACGCUGAGGAGCGAAAGCGUGGGGAGCGAACAGG